rnacentral:lncRNA from 1 species
UUUGCUCUUCUAUUAUUUAACUUAUUUUUAGUUUGUCAUCCUCUUGUUUAAAAAGUUAUACUUAACUAUUCUGUGAUUUUACUUUUACCUUUAUCGAAAAAAUUUACUAUCAGAUAGGAUAGUAAAAUAAUUUUUUUUUUAAUCACAGAAUAGAUAAGUGUAAAUUUUUGAAUCACAAAAUGACAAAAUAAAAAUGUGUUAACUAAUCGACUGUCCCUAAAGCAAGUGGCAAAGGGCUUGGUGGUUAGUACCCGAGACCCAAGUUCGAAUCCUAGUUGAUUCACAUUUCCAGCUAAGUUUAUUUCAAAAUGAAAUAAACAAAGCGGGUAGCGUGCUACCUAUCUCUCUCUCAAAAAAAAAAAAAAAA